rnacentral:rRNA from 1 species
GAUGAACGCUGGCGGCGUGCCUAAUACAUGCAAGUCGAGCGAACAGACGAGGAGCUUGCUCCUCUGACGUUAGCGGCGGACGGGUGAGUAACACGUGGAUAACCUACCUAUAAGACUGGGAUAACUUCGGGAAACCGUAGCUAAUACCGGAUAAUAUAUUUAACCGCAUGGUUCAAUAGUGAAAGACGGUUUUGCUGUCACUUAUAGAUGGAUCCGAGCCGCAUUAGCAAGUUGGUAAGGUAACGGCUUACCAAGGCAACGAUGCGUAGCCGACCUGUGAGGUUGACCGGCCACGCUGGAACUAGAACACGGACAAGACUCCUACGGAAGGAAGCAGUAGGAACUCUUCAGCAAGGGGCAAAAGCGUCACGUGGCAACGCCGCGGGAGGUUGGAGGGUCUUGGGAUCGAAAACCUCUGUUAUAAGGAAAGAAGAAAUGUGUAAGUAGGUAUCCACGUGUUGAAGUAACCUAACAAAAAGGCAGCGAUGAACUACGU